GACGAACGCUGGCGGCGUGCUUAACACAUGCAAGUCGAACGGUGAAGGUGGAGCUUGCUCCGCCGGAUCAGUGGCGAACGGGUGAGUAACACGUGGGCAACCUGCCCCUGACUUCGGGAUAACUCCUCGAAAGAGGUGCUAAUACCGGAUACGAAUCCUGCAGGCAUCUGCGGGAUUGGAAAGUUUUUCGGUAAGGGAUGGGCCCGCGGCCUAUCAGCUGGUUGGUGAGGUAGUGCCUUACCAAGGCGACGACGGGUAGCCGGCCUGAGUGGGCGACCGGCCACACUGGGACUGAGACACGGCCCAGACUCCUACGGGAGGCAGCAGUGGGGAAUAUUGCGCAAUGGGCGAAAGCCUGACGCAGCAACGCCGCGUGAGGGAUGACGGCCUUCGGGUUGUAAACCUCUUUCAGCAGGGAAGAAGCGAAAGUGACGGUACCUGCAGAAGAAGCACCGGCUAACUACGUGCCAGCCGCCGCCGUAA
rnacentral:rRNA from 1 species